AAGAAUGUUUCCCAUUCAUCAAGAAAACAGAUGACAGAACAUAUUCAGUUGCCUUACAGGGAACAACUGGCCUACUUCUCCCUGUCUUUGCCUGCCCUUUCUGAUGGAGAGAGUAAGGUAUAAGAGGAAUACAUAGCUGGCAAGAGAAUUUGAGAAUACAGAUCGCCUAUGGAGGGCUAAACUUUGAAAAGAAAGUGAUGCGCAAGGGUCUUACCCACUCCUCCUCGUCGUAGUCUGAAUGAUGUGGUGCAAUGACUUGCCUAAGAGGAGAGAUGUCAUCUCAUCAAAAAAUAGUUGAAUGCUUCCUUCCACACCACCCCUGGGCUACACUCAGCAUUCUCCUGCCAUGCCAGUCUUCUACAGUGAACUCUCCUGUGUUCAGAUUCUAUGAAAGGCAAUAUAUGCAGAAAGCAACACCAAUGGGAAUUUGAGCAUUUCAUUUUCCCCAACUGUAGUGAUGAUUUGGAUCUUACUUUUUCUGAAAGCAUCUUUAAAGAAUUCUUCAAGCUGUCUGGAGAACGCUGGCUUGCAGAAUUAAGCAGUAGGUCUGCAUGGAUUGCUAUAAGAGGUUGUAGUUGAUUGAUGUUGCUGAGAACUUCUUUUGCUUUGGCUGUAUUUUCAGGUGAAUAGUAAAUAAACUGGUAUCCAGUACUGCAACAACAAAGAUAAUGGCAAGUUACACAAAAAGCACAAAGAAUUUGCAGCCCUUGAUACAAGAUGGCAAAUGAUAAACAGAACUCCAA